rnacentral:rRNA from 1 species
GUCUCUUAGAAAUUAUUAAGAGUCAAGCCUGCCCAGUGAUUGCUUUUUUAACGGCCGCGGUACCCUGACCGUGCAAAGGUAGCAUAAUCAUUUGCCUUUUAAUUGGAGGCUGGUAUGAACGGUUUGACGAGAGUAAAGCUGUCUCACGCACAUCAAUUAGAAACUAAUUUAAAGGUGCAAAAGCCUUUAUAAAACAAAAAGACGAGAAGACCCUGUUGAGCUUUAAUUUUAAUGAGCACCAACCUUAUAUUUAUAUAAUUUAUUUGCUCAAUAAAAAUUUUAAUUGGGGCGAUUAAGGAACACAAUAAAGCUUCCUGACUUUAGUAUUAAAUAUUUAUAAAUUAAAUCGAUCCAGCAAUGCUGAUCAACAAAACGAGUUACCACAGGGAUAACAGCAUAAUUCUUUUUCAGAGCUCAUAUCGAAAAAAGAGAUUGUGACCUCGAUGUUGGACUAGGGUAACAAGAAGGUGUAGCAGCUUUCUCGCUUGGUCUGUUCGACCAAUAAUUCCCU